rnacentral:snRNA from 1 species
GUGAUCACUUCAGCAGCACGUAUUCUAACAUUGGAAUGAUAUGGAGAAGAUUCGCAUGGCCCCUGUCCAAGGAUGACAUGCAAAUUCGUGAAGUGUUCCACAUUUUU